rnacentral:lncRNA from 1 species
CCUGGAGCCCGUGAAUCCAAGCCUGUGCUCUCGCUCCCGCCCGUGGAUUGCGUGAAAAUCAAUAGAGCACCACCCAGCUCGUGUUGGAAGGGACGCUCAGACAUCUCCGCCCACGGCAUUUUCCCUCUAGGAGGAAAAUACCCGACCUAGGCGCACCCAAAACGUUCCCUACAGUUGCAGGGGGGUUCUGGUUUCCCAAACCCCGGGACUCACGAAUCUCAAGAACAGCUGGCAGAAAGGACUGUCUGCUUGGGGGAAGGGGAGAGACCAACGCGGAGAGCCGUGGAGCUGCUUGUGGCCCCAGCCUUGGGUCACCCAGGACGCCCUUUCCGGAGCCGAGUUAAGGUCGCGGACCCUGAGUCUCUCUCUGUCGCCCAGGCUGGAGUACAGUGGCGUGAUCUCGGCUCACUGCAACCUUCGCCUCCUGGGUUCAAGUGAUUCUCCUGCCUCAGCCACCUGAGUAGCUGGGACUACAGGCGCCUGCCACCACGCCCGGCUAAUUUUUGUAAUUUUAGUAGAAACGGGGUUUCGUCAUGUUAUCCAGGCUGGUCUGGAUCUCCUGACCUCAGGUGAUCCGCCCACCUCGGCCUCCCAAAGUGCUGGGAUAACAGGCAAGAACCACCGUGGCCGGCCUAAAGCUCAGGAGUUUUAUUGUAUUUUCUUUCCCAAGCUGUAUGAAAAGUCCAACAGCACUGUUCUGUCGUUCUUUGCCUUCUUAUAUGUGACCUUUUCCCCUCUGGGGGCUUAAAAAUAUUCAUCUUGUCUUAUAAAUCCUCAGUGAAGGCAAUGAGUAUUUUUAUUUCCGUUUUACCAUUAGGGAUACUGGUUGGGGGAAGAUGAAUGACUUGCCCAAGGUCAUAUAGUAAAUCAGGACACAGACAAGAUCAAGCUUGCCCUGUCAAAGUGCUUCCCUGACAGGCAGCAGUGAUCCUCCUUUAUUUAUGUGCAAAGUACUCUCCAAUUAGGAAAUUAAGCAUCCUGGUGCUCUCUUUGGAAGGGAAGCCUUUUAUAAAUUCAUCACUUGUUAAUCAGUCAUAAAUAAAACCUACUCACUUUUGACCUCUAGAGGAAACCUGCUAUCUGGAGAUUUCACUAAUCCGAGCUAUGGAAACUUUUUUUCCCCCAGGUUUCCCUUCUAUUUCUCUUGUACAUUUCUAUACUUACUCGAGUCCUCUUUGGGUGAACCAUUGACGCACUGUAUCUUUCCAUUGCUUGCCUUAGCAUAUUGAACCUCUUAAUAGAUUUCAUUCUAGAGGCUACUAUGCUAAAAUGUGUCUAUCUCUGUGGAGACUAAAGGCUAAAGUUCAAAGUGACACUGGCAAGAAUGAUUGGCUAAUUUUAAGAUUUAGAACUGUAGCCUUUUAGAGCUAGAGGCCACUGGAGAUCAUACCCAGCAUCUAGAUCUGCAUGGAGGAAGCCAAGGCCCAGAGAGGUCAAGUUCCUUACCUAAAGUUACACAGCUAGUUUGUGACACAACUGGGACAAGAACCCAGAUCUGCUUCCUCACAUUGCUCUUUGCAAUGUACUGCAUUACCUCAUUUUUGCUGCAAGCCCUUGGCCACUGUCAAAAUCAUUCAUUUACUCAUCAAAUGUUUAUUAAGUAGGCACUUCAGUGCCAGGCACUGAAGCAAAAAAAGAAGAGUUUUCCUUCAUUAAUUGGAACAGGAGAGACUUCAGCAUUUUAAAUAUGUAGAGA